GUCUACAGCCAUGCUACCCUGAACAAGCCCGAUCUUGUCUGAUCUCGGAAGCUAAGCAGGGUCGGUCCUGGUUAGUACUUGGAUGGGAGACCACCUAGGAAGACCAGGUGCUGUAGGUG
rnacentral:rRNA from 1 species